rnacentral:rRNA from 1 species
CAGGGAAUCUUGCGCAAUGGGGGCAACCCUGACGCAGCGACGCCGCGUGGGCGAUGAAGGCCUUCGGGUCGUAAAGCCCUGUGACCAGGGAGGAGAAAGGACAGUACCUGGUCAGCAAGCCUCGGCUAACUCCGUGCCAGCAGCCGCGGUAAGACGGAGGAGGCGAGCGUUAUCCGGAUUUACUGGGCGUCAAGGGCGCGUAGGCGGCCUAGCAGGUCGUGGGUGAAAGCCCCAGGCUCAACCUGGGGAGGUCCUGCGAUACCACUAGGCUUGAGGAUCGUAGAGGGGGGCGGAAUGUCCGGUGGAGCGGUGGAAUGCGUAGAUAUCGGACGGAACACCCGAGGCGAAGGCGGCCCCCUGGGCGACACCUGACGCUGAGGCGCGAAAGCGUGGGGAGCAAAGCGG